GAAUCCCGGCUUCCUUUCAAUACAAAUAAAUAUUUCGCUUUUUACUAAAGAUUUCCGCGAGGGGAAGCAUUCAAAGGAGUCUAAAAAAAAAUAAUUUUUCUCUAACAAGAAUGAUAAA